GCGAGCCUCCGGAGGGGUUUGAAUUCCCCGCAAUCAGAAACAGACGGAAAGAGGGAGUGACAGAUCCUUUACAAUCACAGACUUUCCACAUUUAGAUUUGCUACUUUUUUUUUUCUUUUUCUUUUUUUUUUGCACUUUUGUGUGAAGUUAUUCGGUGUGUCUUUUUCCUUUUGGGGUAUUGUUUUAAUAUUGUUUUUGGUGGAAGUCCCGGGAAACAGACAGAGAGAGGGGCGAAGUGUGUCUCUGGCCCUCUGUUUUUCUAUUUAACAUUGUUUUUGUACUUUUUUUUGUAACUUCAUCCACUUGGCAGCUUGAUAUUUAAUGUCUUUUUAAGGCGGUGAGUGUGUGUGUGUGUGUGUGUGUGUGUGUGUGUGUGUAUGUGUGUGUGUGUGUGUGUGUGUGUGAGAGCUCAUAAGCACUGUCUCAGCCUACUGCUAGAAUAGACUUCUACUCCACCUCACAGAUCUGUUACCUCUGCCGCAAAAGGGGCGUCAUAUACUGUGGCAGCCAUCUGAUUUGCUUUUUUUGUUGCCAGUUGUUUUGGGUGACAUCAUGUUUUCUAUGUGACCUUAAACAGCAUCACAUAACCACUUGAUUUAUGAGUUGUUGGGUUUAUUUUUAUUUUUUUUCAAUGAUUUAUGUUUUUUAUUUGAUGGUUUUAUUCAUAAUUGUCCUAUUCAUUCACACAUGGCAGCAUAUAUACAGAUAACUGCAGCACACAGAGACUCACAGAUAAAUAUACAUACACACACACACACGUACACACACACACACACACACACACACACACACACACACACACACACACACACACACACACAGUGCAGCCUCUGUUUUUAGCUGUGCUCUGAUUGUGGCCGUGUCCACUGCUGGUCAAACAGUCAGACUACUGUAGCUGCUCUGUUUGUGCCCUCGCUGUUAUGUGAUCGCUAUGAAGGCUCGCCAUUGUGUGACCAAAAAACAUUUUUGUCAUCGCUCAGCCACUCAGAACCGGUUUGGGCCAGAGUCCCGACACAAGAAGAACCCAGGAUACAGGGGGGGGGAAGAAAAAAAAAAACCUGCCAUUUUUUGCCCUCAGCUUUUGUUUAAUGUUGUCUGUCACGCAGCGAUGUGGUGCUGGUUUGAUGCUUUUUCUGUACUACUUCUUUUUCCUCUUUUAUCACUGAUGUCCUCUCUGUGUGUUUUUCCCUUCCAAAUAGACAACGAUGUCAAAAAACAACAAAACAAAAAAAGGAAAAAAACAAAAACUAAGAGAUGAUCACUUUUGGAAAAAAGCUUUUUAUUUGAGUUGCAUGCUGAAAAGCAGAUAAUACUUCUGCCUAUAAAUAUAUGAAUUGCACCUUAUUGGAGGGAUGAGGUUUUGUUUAGUUUUUUUAAUGCAUACACAAAUAUAUAUAUGUAUAUUUAUAUUUAUAUAUAUUUAUAUGUAUUUGUGUACUUUUUAAUUUUGAUAAAAGACAUAACUGUUAGCGUAUCAGGCAAUGCAUCUUAAACCAGGUUUUAUGAUUUAUUUUUUUAAUACUUAUUAAUGCAAGGUUUCAUUGUAAUUGAUGCAGUCACUGGUGUUUGGUUUGGGAAAGCUUCAUUAAGCAGCAUCAGAACAUAAGUUAGAGGCUGGUGAGCAUGCCAAAAGAAGUCCAACAGAUGGACUGUGGUGGUAAUAAAACAUCUUUAUUUCAUAAAACUACACUGUGAGGUAACACACACCUCAAAAAGAAGGUUUAAAUUGAGUCAUGAAAUAAUAAUAAUACAAAAUGAGAUGUGUGUCACCUUAAAACAUAACAUUGUGUUAAUCCUAAAUGCCUCAAUGGCAAAAAUAUGUAACAAACAUCCUGGGACAGAGCUGAAAACUGAGCUUUGAGCUUGCAUGAGCAGGUUUUUCCUUUGUUGGUGCAGACAGAAUGAUUAUGUGAUGAAGACAAUUGUUAGUGCCUGGCUAGCUGCUGCUGCUUAAUGAAGCCUUGUCCACAGACACACACACACACACACACACACACACACACACACACACACACACACACACACACACACACACUGGCCUGUACUUACACAGUGACCACUAGGAGGCAUCCUGCUUGUCCUCUCACAUAUCACACAUACAUAAACACUUCCUUCGCCUUCCGUCCAUCUUGUCCUUGAAAUGAGGACAAAUGACUAACUGAAAAAAGACACCACGUUGCUUUGACACACACACACACACACACACACACACACACACACACACACACACACGAACAAUACGGUCUUGGCAGAUGACUGGCAGCAUGCAUGGUGCUGCCACCCGGUCUCAUGUCCCUGGGGCAGAGUGCUGUCUGCAGCCAAUUAACCAACAGGGCCGGUUGCCAGGUCCAUAUCCAUCUAAUCCUCUCCACCCUCCUGCCGGGUUGCCAAAUUUACCCCUCCACUUUUACCCCUCAGUUUAUUGUGUUAAAAAAAAGAAGAGGUUUACAGCAUGAGAGGGAUAAUGAAAAUAGGUUAGAUGACUCAGUUUGGGUGUUUUUUUUUUUUUUUUUUUAUUGGAUAAAAUCCUGGUGAAAGUGAGAGGGUUGCUUUGUCUGUGCUUUUAUAGUUGACCUACAUGAAACUGGAGAGAUUACCGGAAAACUGGCCUGCAAUGCUGGUUCAUCUUUGUCUACCAGUGAAAAAAACUCAACAUACACAAACACUCCUACCUGAGCAGCUUACAGCCACGUCCAUUGAGCAUCCCCUAUUACAUAUUGUGACAUUGUGCAUCAACACAACCUGUAUGCCCUGCCUCCCUCUGUCCCCAUGCACUGAUAAUGAUUGUAUAUGGUCGCAUAGUUUUAUUUUUUAUAUCAUUGUUGGGGCUUCUUUUUUGUUUCUGGGAUUGUUUAUUAAUUUGUAUAGUUAUUAUGAAAUGUUUUGAUGGGUCUGUCACUCUGUAAUCGGUAUGCAGGAGAGAGUGUGUUCGUGCAAGAGUGUGUAUGUACUGUAGCUUACUGAAUGUGUGUGUGUGUGUGUUUGUGUGAAAGAGUAAAGAAAGCGAGUAUGAGUGUGUUGUUCUGUGGCUCGGUGUUCAGCUCCCAAUGCGCAUCAGCCCGUUGCCUGUGUUCAUCAUUGUGCCAGUGUGUUCAGGUGUUCCCUUGCCUCUACAUCCGUUCAUCCAAAUGGAAGAGAAAGAGAGAAGGAGGAAGAGGAGGAAGAGGAGGAGGCAGAGCGCCUUUUCCCUCAGGGGAAGAAAAAAAAAAACACAAUGAGAAAAUAUACUUUUGAAAAAAGGAUAUUUUUCUCCUCUGCGGGGUCUCAAAGAAGAGUGUACAUUUCUAAGUUAAUUGAAAAUGAUGAAUAAAAAGCUCAUUUGUUCUCUAUAUGAAUGGCUGUAUGUUAACCAUGAACAAAAAGUAAUGAGUUCUAUGACAAAGACAUAUAAUAAAUUAAUUUUAAAAUUUU